UCCCCUUAGUCUAACUUAGCCUCCGGAGAAUGACAGCGGGCGCGCGUAAGAGGCUCGUCCGGGGAUGAGGCAGCAUCCUCGGGCGGCGGGCGGGAGGAGGCAGCCUCCCCUUAGUGUAACUUAGCCUCCGGAGAAUGACAGCGGGCGCGCGCAAGAGGCUCGUCCGGGGAUGAGGCAGCAUCCUCGGGCGGCGGGCGGGAGGAGGCAGCCUCCCCUUAGUGUAACUUAGUCUCCGGAGAAUGACAGCGGGAGCGCGUAAGA